rnacentral:lncRNA from 1 species
CGUACUGUCAUUUUUUUACGUCAUAAAGUCAACCUGUAGCUUUGAUAGAAUCUGAAGCGAGAUGCUAUAUAAAAUACUCUUGCUUUGUACGUUUUUAAGACAAAAUAUACACCCCAAACAUGCCCUAACAUAAAAAGGUGCACUCGAUUUUUCUCUUUUCGAUGCAAUCGUUACCUGUUUUGGGAAAUUUUUUCUUGAUUCACAUAAUGGAAGGGCAGACACGAAAAUUUCUGAACUAAAAGAUUGAUAUGUUCUCCGUCCGUGAUAAAAAAAAUCGGAGGUUAUGCAUUUUCUACAUCCAACUUAUAGAUACUAUAUAUAAAAAAGAAGAUGUGGUAUUAUUGCCAAUGAGACAACUAUCCAGAAAAGACCAAAAUGACACAAACAUUAACAACUAUAGGUAACCGUAAGGCCUUCAACAAUGAGCAAAGCCCAUACCGCAUAGUCAGCUAUAAAAGGCCCCG